GACGAACGCUGGCGGCGUGCUUAACACAUGCAAGUCGAACGGUGAAGGGACCGGUUUUUGCUGGUUCUGGAUGAGUGGCGAACGGGUGAGUAACACGUGAGUAACCUGCCCCCUUCUUCUGGAUAACCGCAUGAAAGUGUGGCUAAUACGGGAUAUUCUGCGCCUGCUGCAUGGUGGGUGUGGGAAAGAUAUUGUUUCGGUGGGGGAUGGGCUCGCGGCCUAUCAGCUUGUUGGUGGGGUGAUGGCCUACCAAGGCGGUGACGGGUAGCCGGCCUGAGAGGGUGGACGGUCACACUGGGACUGAGACACGGCCCAGACUCCUACGGGAGGCAGCAGUGGGGAAUAGUGCACAAUGGGCGCAAGCCUGAUGCAGCGACGCCGCGUGAGGGAUGGAGGCCUGCGGGUUGUAAACCUCUUUCGCCAGUGAAGCAGGCCUGUCCCUUUUGUGGGUGGGUUGACGGUAGCUGGAUAAGAAGCGCCGGCUAACUACGUG
rnacentral:rRNA from 1 species